UCAAGGUCACGUUAAUUCACAACAAAGUGGCAUUUAAGACCAUUCUAACGAUCUCUCGCUACACACACACACACACACACACACACACACACACACACACACACACACACACACACACAGCUACAUCACUGCCUCUGUUGUCCACCCUGCUAUAGAGUGGACGCUUUGACCCCUGUCGGCCCCCUCUGACUUUGAGCCCUGGUCCUGCGUCUCCUCUCAAGGGCAUCAUCCGUGUCUGGACUCUAGCGAAUGAGAACACCCUAAGCAAAGGUCACUCAUCGGACAGCUGCCUGUUGAAGGGCAGUAGGGAGCAUCUGGACUCGGGCAGGUGCGUAGCAGGUGUACUGUAACCAUCGGACGCUCAGACGAUGAUGGGGGGGGGGGGGGG